rnacentral:rRNA from 1 species
GACGAACGCUGGCGGCAUGGAUUAGGCAUGCAAGUCGAACGCGAAUUAAUCCUUUCGGGGGUUAUAGUAGAGUGGCGAAUGGGAGAGUAACGCGUGGAUUAUUUACCUUUUAGCGGGGGACAACACAGAGAAAUUUGUGCUAAUACCGCAUGUGGAUAGCAAUAUCUAAAGAUGGCCUCUGCUUGCAAGCUAUCGCUAAGAGAUAAGUCUGCGUACUAUUAGUUAGUUGGUGUGGUAACGGCGCACCAAGGCAAUGAUAGUUAGGCGGCCUUAACGGGUGACCGCCCUCACUGGGAUUGAGAUACGGCCCAGACUCCUACGGGAGGCAGCAGUCGAGAAUAGUCUACAAUGGACGAAAGUCUGAUAGUGCAAUGCCGCGUGGAUGAAGAAGCAUUUCGGUGUGUAAAAUCCUUUUCUAUAUGAGCAAAGGUGGGUAGGUGAAUAAUUUAUCUGCUAAGAUAUUAGUAUAGGAAUAAGCCUCGGCUAACUCCGUGCCAGCAGCCGCGGUAAUACGGGGGAGGCGAGCGUUGUCCGGAAUCACUAGGCGUAAAGGGCAAGUAGGCGGAAAGUUAAGUCGUGUGUUAAAUUUAUAGGCUCAACCUAUACUCAGCAUGCGAUACUGGCUUUCUAGAGUCAGACAGGGGUAUACGGAAUUUCUGGUGUAGCGGUGGAAUGCGCAGAUAUCAGAAAGAACACUCAUGGCGAAGGCAGUAUACUGGGUUUAGACUGACGCUCAAUUGCGAAGGUGUGGGUAUCAAACAGGAUUAGAGACCCUGGUAGUCCACACAGUAAACGAUAAUCACUAGGUGUCGGGAGAGAAGAUCUUUCGGUGCCGUAGCUAACGCGUUAAGUGAUUCGCCUGGGGAGUACGAUCGCAAGAUUGAAACUCAAAGGAAUUGACGGGAACCCGCACAAGCGGUGGAACAUGUGGUUUAAUUCGAUGCAACGCGAAGAACCUUACCCUGGUUUGACAUGGUUAUGGAAUCCCUUAAGAGAUUAGGGAG